GGGAGACCCUAGCUACCGAGCUUGGUUCAUGCGCAGCUAAAAAUAAACAAGUUCAGGCAUGAGCAAGACGCUAAUUUCGGUCCUCUCUCUUAUUGAUCCACAGAUUUUCCUGUGGGAUUCCUGAGGCUAUACUUGAUGCCAGGAGAGUGAACACUGCUUUCUCUCUCCGAGGGUAAAAGGACUGAAGGCUCAUAGCAGUGACCCUGGUACCUCUGACAGGACACCUCGGGGAAAACAGGGAUAAGCCGAUUCUAAAUCCACAAAACACAUUUACACAGGAUUAUCAAAUUCCCUGAACUCCUCUGUUAUCUGUGUGAGGAAAAACUGUUGGUCCACUGCUCUUUGGUCAGAACAAAUUCAGCGUUCAGUUCCUCCUGAAGAACAAAGGUUGAGUGUAGUGUUUCCAGCUUUCCCAGUGAGGCUAAAGACCAAAACGCAUUGCAAAGGAGCGUUUGGGCAGCCUGAAAGACUUUCUGAAACUAACACCACAAUAGGACAAUCACGGCUGCUCUCUGCAGUGAUUCUCCAGAUGUGCAAAGAUGAGUUCAAACUGCUCAUACAUUAUUUCCCUCCACAGACUUUACAAUCAGUCCCAGUUGACACUAUUGGAUCAUGCAGGAGCUGAACUGCCUCUUCAAUCGAUGGAUGAAUGAAUGAAUGGUUCUCAUGUUGAGAGAGAGAUUUGCCAAGAAAGCCGUGUACAGCUUCACUUUUCCCCAUGUGGUGGAGGAGUUGUUGUACACCCUUGUUCUUUUUGACAGUGUACUGUAUCGGCCUUCAGCAGUGUGAAACCUCAAUAAUUGGACUCCAACCCCCUUUUUGAACAUCACCAUCCAUGUCUGCCGGCGCCAAAGGAAAUGUUCCUUAAAUCCACUCAACACUGACAAAACUGUAAUCAUUCCUCCUGUCCACACUUGCUGAAAAAGUGAUCGCAACCUAGUGCAGCUCUGAUAUAAGGAAUCCGCAGACUUUAUUCUUCAUAAAAGUGCAUUGUAAACUUUAGUCAUCUUGGAUACAACACUGACUCUUUUCGUUACCACCCCUCAGUUACAGCUCAGCAAGGAAACAGUGUCUGGGGAAAUGCAGAGAGGGAAUAUUGUACAAAACAACUGUAACUUGAUUAAGCUGACUCCAACUGCUGAAGCCUCUUAUUAGCUUCGGCUAAACUUCACAAUAUAUCUUUACAUAGAAUAGAGACUGUGGACAUAGGAGGCACAGUUUCUUUACGAGGAGGAGGAAUGAUUGCAAUAACCAAUACCUGUACAUAUAUACAUAUGAGAAUUGCAUUAUGAUCGGCUUGAAAAAUGCAGAACUUAUCCUUUAAGUGCAACAGCGUGUCAGAAUAAAUCUCAUCUUCUCCGCGCCUUCCACUCGCCACAAGUGUAAUUUCAUAAGGAGCCAAGGAGAGUUGUCAUGCCUAAUAUUUCAUAUAAAUCAUUUAUCCCCCUCAAUUAACUCCAUAGAGUGUCCAUGACAAUCUCACCUCUCCUCAAGCGCGUGAGAAAAAGUAAAACAGACAGGAGAAACUGCAGCCAGUGGUUCAGACAAUGUGAUGGUUCACACAGCCGCACAGCAGAGUAAGUUUAUUAUCGAGAGUGACAUAAAACACUGGAUACCAACAGUUGAUAUAUAGAUGGAUAACAAUGAAUACCUAUAAAAGUUUGUAAAUAAUGCUGGAUCUCAUUUACCACAUCCAUUUAAGUUGAUAUAGUGAAUGUGUAAGCAAACACAUCCAGCAGUUACAGCGCAACAUUAUCAUAACCAGUUAAUAGUGUUGUCUGUUUGGUGUUUGGUGCUGGGCAGGUAGUGUUUUUUUAGAGCUUUUUAGCUGAGAACAGUCUGCCUGCUGCUGCAAAAAAACAACAUUGUUAGAGGGAAUCAGAACAGUAAAGUUGACAGCUAAACACUGAGCUGAAUAUCUUUAUUCUAUAGCCGAAGGCAGCAGCAGAUAAGGGUGAUAAUAUUAUGUAGGUUUAUCAGUACAAGUUUUUGAUACAUUGUGAUUCAAAAGAUACUGAUUACAGCAGGUUUUCUUUGUUACACGACUGACAGUUCAUUCAUCAGUGACAAAACGGCAUGUUUUGAAAGGAAUACUUAGACAAAUUUGAAGUAUGUUAGUUUUUCUUUGAAGGGCGGGAUGAAAAGAUUGACUUAAGCAUGGAGCUGGAGUGAAGACGAGGGUAGCCCAGCUAAGCAUAAACGCUGGAAGCACAAGGAAAUAUUUAGCUUGGCUCUGUCCAAAGUUUAAAAAGUAUACGCCACUGAACGCUUGCUUGUUAAACACAUACAAAACAACAAUUAUAAAUAUUAUAAUACAAUAAUAUUCCCUGAAUCAUCAAGAAUAAAUGUUUUGUAUUAUCUCCUAAUUAAUUAGGAUUUAUUUAUUCAUUCAAAAUUAUGUUCUUCCCCAGACGUCCACUAAGCUGUGUUAGUCAGAAUUACAGUUAACAUUCCCUUCCCUUCCUCAGUUCACUGCUCAGGUCACUAUGUCAUGUUAAGUGCCAGACAUAGCGUAUAUGCAGUAUAUUACGCACAUGAAUGGUAUCCCAUUAAGAGCGCAGCCCUCUUGUCAGUGAAGGAUAUAAUUGUAGUGGCCUGAACAGUACCCAGUAGACCUCUUCUCCAAAGCUGAAAUGAAAAUUAUGCCCUUUCCACUAACAAGCUUUCUUACUGACCUCCACUGAGGAAAUGGACUUAGACCACUUUGAAUCUUCAAGUUCUACCAAAUUAUACGUCUAGUAGGUUUAAGAGUUUCUGAGAAUUAUCCUUCUACCUUCAGACAGUAAUCUCACUCAAGAUCAGUGUGUCCUUGUACCUGCCGAGAACACCCAGGUCGCUGAUCUGCUGCCUCAUCCUGAGGAUUUUUUGUCCAUGUGCUCUGAGCUCCUCAUCCACUGGACUCUUUCAGCUCAGACCUUUCUGUUGGAUUUUCGUAAUCUCAAAUGGAUUUAAGAGUCUUCCUUUCUCCACUGGACAGCCUCGCUCAACAUUCACAUCCACCAGCAGGUGAAUAUGUGCUUCGUAUAUCUUUGGCCACUUACUUUGACAGGAAAGCAAGCCAAAACGGAACACUGACAUAUGAACACGGUAUACAGUAUAUAUGUUGUAGCAAACAAGUGAACAUAAUCCUGUAGAAACAGAGCAACAUUCAGGUGCCAAUAUGCUUCAGCUGAAGAUUUAGCCGGAUUGUUGCCCACCUCCUGCAUGCCUUUUCAACAUCUGGAUCAGGCGUGCUAUUGUUUGUUGAAACCAACAAUCUGACAAGUGCUCCCACUCCCACCAUUGUGCGAGUAUUUGUCUGAAUACCUUUUCUUUUUUUUUAAAGAUUUUUUUUUGUGGCUUUUUUCAAGCUUUAUUUUUGAUAGAGACAGCUGAAGAGUGAGAAAUGUUGGGAGAAAGAGAUGUGGAAUGACAUGCAGCAAAGCGCCGCAGGUCAGAUUCGAAUCCUGGGCCGCUGCGGCAAGGCUUCAUCAAUCAACACCCCAAGUCUGAAUACCUUUGAGGAAAGAUAGUCUGAAAAGCUACCAGCUUAUCCCCAUGUUUCAACAGUUGUCUUGUCCUUCUCAUUGACAGCUGGAUUUCCACCUUUGACUGUGUGGCUGUUGAUGCUAUAAAUACUUUUGCUUUCAGAUGUAGUAAAGUAAAAGUAAAUUGUAGUACUUGCAACUUUUGUUUCUGGCCAUCUGAUGAAUGUUCAGUCAAACAUUUGGUCCAAUAUUUCUGUCUAGCUAUCAAGUUUUGGUCACCUCCUGAAGGAAAGAAUCGGCUCUACAGUGUUCAUCAGUUGGGGUCUUCUCUGUUUCUGCUUGGAACGAGGUUGAUGAGAGCAGUGAGAGAGAAUAGAUAGCAAAGCUUUGAGCUGUAAAACCAAUAUAGUUUUUAAUUAACUGAUUAAUUUGUUUUAUUAUUUUUUUAUUUAUUUAACCAGAUAAGUCAAUUGAGGACCAGUUCUCUUUUACAACGACAACCCGGCCAUUUUAUCUAUAAAAUAACACAGAAAGAUGCCCACCAAAGCCCAGAGCCCAAGGGGAUGUCUUCAAAUGGCAUGUCUUGUUUGGCCAACAGUCAGAAACCCCAAAGAUAUUAAAUUUCCAUUGAUACAAAACGACACGUCCUGGUGAUCUAGGGUCUGGGGAAUCGACCAUUAGGCAUAACGCCUACAGUUCCCCAUUUCUCUCCUUUCCUGUCAUCUCUCUGCUGUUGGCUAUCCAGUACUGG